GUGUGUGUGUGUGUGUGGUCAUCUGUAAAGGUUAUGGAGUCUGAGUCCAUAGGUGCCAUGCUCACUAUAUCUAUACAUAGAUGAGAUAGAUAGAUAGAGAUCUAUCUCCUUUCCUCUACUUCCUCUGUCUCCCAUACCAAUUUUUUUGUUCAGCUUCCUCAUCUACAACUGUACAGUCACUUAUCCUCAGAAUCUUGAGUUCUUUGGCACACUGGGAACCUUGUGAGAAAGAGUGGCUGGAAGAGAGAACUCCACUAACUCCAUACCUGACCUGGAGACACACAGGAGUUUACAGGGUACAGUACGGUUAUGGCUUAGAAGUGGAGAGCUUUGAUGUUUCAAACAAGGGGUCACCAGAGAUCAGAACUACAAGAGGGGCUGGUUAUGGCUGAUGUGAUAAAGCCAAGGUGGCAGUAUCUUUAAAUGACACCAUCCAGGAAAGAAAGACAUCUACAGUGUGCGGCUGGAGAGCAACUGUAAACACUGUCCUCCUCCAAGCAUCCAGCCCAGGGCCUGUUAUUCAGUCAACACUCGUGGAAAACCAAUGGAAUAAACAGUUGAGAAGAACAAUGUAUGCUAAGCAGUUUGCUCUCUUGGCACUGGGAUCCUUUGCAGGACUUGGAGCAGAGGACUGAAGUGAUCAGAUUGUGCUGCCAUGACUGUAGGUAUAAAAUUUCUUUACAAAUAUGGAGUGCUAUAGAAGUGCAAAAACAUCUUCAAGAGAAAUAAGAUUCUAUGACUGAAGACACCAUAUCCUUGAAUGCAAGACGUAGAAAAGUCAAGCUGAAGCUGAGCUGUACGUCUCCCAGUGGCUGGCUGGCUUCCAUAGUGCCAGAUGAGGCUGGGCAGGCCACUGGGGGACAAAGGCACUAGUGGUCUUAGCCUCUGUGAACUCUACAAACUAUAAUGCAUCUGCCAGGCAAGAUGUGCCCAUUGCUGAGACAGUGGCACAGCUGUUAGGGGGUAACCAACUACCUCCAUAACCGGAUAUGAGGCCCCCUCAGGAGAGGAUCCAUACUCAGUAAUUAGUUUUUCUAAUCACUAUCUCUACUAUCUGUGUGGAACUCUUUCCCAAAAUUCAUUUCAGGAGUUUAAUGACCCUUCCUCUCCUUUUUUCAGAUCCCUCAUUGAUUCUAGACGCAGAACCCCCUUUUCCUUUCUUUUCCUUCAUUCAUUUCAGCUGCUGAACUUCCCCCCUUCCUUUCUACUCCCAGAUGGUCAGACAAGACCAAAUCCUGUGACUUGAAGUUCUCCGAAGAAGUAAAAUCCACAUUGAAGGUCCCUCAGACUGACCUUGGCUGAUAGAACACUGUGAUUAUGGAGAGAGGGAAUGUUACAGAUCAGGAGCUAAUGUUGGCAUCUCAAGAUGCUGGUAUAGACACAGAACUCUCCCGAGGAUGAAUUUGGUAUGUAAUUUCAGAAAGAGAUGAGAAAUAUGGAAAGGCAAGUAAGGGCUGUAGUAGUAAACAGCAUCAACAAGAAACUAGAUACAAUAAAAAUAGUGACUAUCAGAUUCAUAAAGGAAACUACAGACCCAGACUUAGAGUCCUGAGCAAAGUGGUUGGGGAA